UACGAAGGUGGCAAGCGUUGUUCGGAUUUACUGGGCGUAAAGGGAGCGUAGGUGGUUAGGUAAGCCCUCCGGGAAAUCUUCAGGCUUAACCUGAAAAGGUCGGGGGGGACUGCCUAGCUAGAGGGCGGGAGAGGAGCGCGGAAUUCCCGGGUGUAGCGGUGGAAAUGCGUAGAGAUCGGGAGGAAGGCCGGUGGCGAAGGCGGCGCUCUGGAACGUUUCUGACACUGAGGCUCGAAAGCGUGGGGAGCAAACAGG
rnacentral:rRNA from 1 species